rnacentral:rRNA from 1 species
UGCUCCGCCGCUUGUGCGGGCCCCCGUCAAAUUCCUUUGAGUUUAGCCUUGCGGCCGUACUCCCCAGGCGGGGCGCUUAAUGCGUUAGCUACGGCACGGACAACGUGGAAGUCGCCCACACCUAGCGCCCAACGUUUACAGCGUGGACUACCAGGGUAUCUAAUCCUGUUCGCUCCCCACGCUUUCGCUCCUCAGCGUCAGUAUCGGCCCAGAGACCCGCCUUCGCCACCGGUGUUCCUCCUGAUAUCUGCGCAUUCCACCGCUACACCAGGAAUUCCAGUCUCCCCUACCGAACUCAAGUCUGCCCGUAUCGACCGCAAGCUGGAGGUUAAGCCUCCAGUUUUCACGGCCGACGUGACAAACCGCCUACGAGCUCUUUACGCCCAAUAAUUCCGGACAACGCUCGCACCCUACGUAUUACCGCGGCUGCUGGCACGUAGUUAGCCGGUGCUUCUUAUCCAGGUACCGUCACCCCGAAAGGCUUCGUCCCUGGCGAAAGAGGUUUACAACCCGAAGGCCGUCAUCCCUCACGCGGCGUCGCUGCAUCAGGCUUGCGCCCAUUGUGCAAUAUUCCCCACUGCUGCCUCCCGUAGGAGUCUGGGCCGUGUCUCAGUCCCAGUGUGGCCGGUCGCCCUCUCAGGCCGGCUACCCGUCGACGCCUUGGUAGGCCACUACCCCACCAACAAGCUGAUAGGCCGCGGGUUCAUCCCAUACCGCCGGAGCUUUCCACCCCACACCAUGCGGUGCAGAGUCAUAUCCGGUAUUAGACCUCGUUUCCAAGGCUUAUCCCAAAGUACAGGGCAGAUUACCCACGUGUUACUCACCCGUUCUCCACUAAUUCACUCCGAAAGGCUUCCUCGUUCGACAGGCAAGGCCUUAGCAGUAACCGU